AGUACUUGAAAACCAUAAAAAUCUCCAAAAAAAUCAUCUACAGAGUAUGGACAAGAAUUUUCAAUUCUCUCUCCUUGAGAUGUAGGAAAAACAGGAUGGUUACCGGACAAAACAUCAGGAGGAGUAUGAAUCUCAGGAAGAGUUGGAUAUUCAGUUGAAGGAGGAGUUGUAGGGGCAAAAUUUUCCAAAAUGCUAUCUUGACACUGAAUAUUACCACAGGUAUCAUUGCAUGUGACAUUAGUUCCAUCGUCUAUGGCAUCAAUACCAUCUUUGUGAUCAUUUUUUUCUGUUGGACCACUCUUUUCAUGUGGAAUGACAUUGCCAUGAACCAUACCAUCUCCUUCAUUAGUGCCACAAAUGCUCACGUCAGUCUCACGUUCCUUCUCGAUUCGAUCUCCCUUACUGAUGUGAGUUCUAGUGCUCUGAGCAAUGAAAUU
rnacentral:misc_RNA from 1 species